GGCGGGCGUUCAGCCUGCAGGCCACGGGGGUCGGUGGCAGCAGAGUCCUUGGACUUUGUGCCGGCCACCUCACUCUGGACUGGCCUCUCCACCCACUACCCGGUGGCCUUCAGAUGGUCCUUUUUUUGCAAAACCAGGCAGAGGGUUGUGUGGCGAGCCGCCCGGAAUCUUUCUGCUGGGUAGUGUGUGUCUGCACGUGCCCCAGGCUGGCACCCCUCCGUCACCUCCCGGUCACUGCAGGCUGCCUCUGAGGAGGGCAGUACCUGCCCACAAAGGCCCACGGAGCCAUGGCUUCUUCCCAGUGGUGAUCCCUGAUGGGCUGGAAGGUGACCGAACCGCUUGUCCUUUAUAAGCUGGGCUUGCUGCUUGCCGUUGAGGAAGAGCUUGUCAUGGGUGUCAGCGUUUAAAAGUGGAAUUAGAGACGGGGUUUCACCGUGUUGGCCAGGAUGGUCUCCAUCUCUUGACGUCGUGAUCCACCCGCCUCGGCCUCCCAAAGUGCUGGGAUUACAGGCGUGAGCCACCGCACCCGGCCGAUAUUACAAAAUCUCCUUCCUCUCCCCCUCCUCCUCCUCCCUCCCUCCCGCAUUAGUUUCCUGACACGAACCUGGCGGCUUAGGACAACACACACUUACUCUCUCACAGUUCCUGAGGCUGGAAGUCCAGAAGUCGGGGUGCUGGCAGGACGUGCUCUUCUGAAGCCUCCAGGGCAGGGCCAGCCGCAUGCCCGUCUCCUCGCUUGGGCACCUGCCAGCGGUCCCCGGCGGUCCCCGGCUCAUUGCUGCAUGGCUCCAACGUCCGCCUCUCCCACCAUGUGGCCUCCUCCUGGUGUCUCUGUGUCCAAAUCUCCCGCUCUGUCUAAGGAUAACAGUCACUGGUCAUGGGACCCAUCCUAAUCCAGGGUGACCUCGUAUUAACCUCAUCACAUCUGCAAAGACUAUUUCCAAGUCAAGCCACACUCCCAGCUGCUGGGGGCGGGACUUGAACAUAUUUUUUGUGGGGACACAAUUCCCCUCUCAGGUUUUAAGAUUUGUCUUUAUCAUUAAAGUUUUCAAAACUAA
rnacentral:lncRNA from 1 species